rfam:Aspergillus ruber CBS 135680 unplaced genomic scaffold scaffold00024, whole genome shotgun sequence.
GGUGCUGUGGUCUAGUGGUAUGACGUCGCGUUGUGGCCGCGCCAGCCCCGGUUCGAUUCCGGGCAGCGCCA